rnacentral:tRNA from 1 species
GUAGACGUAGCUCAGUAGGCAGAGCAUUUCGCCAAUAAUGAAAAUGUCGCUGGUUCAAGCCCAGCCGUCUGCA